GGGGGGGGGGGAAGCGGGGAGUCUUUCACAGUCAGUCAGUGAUUCAAUCUCAAUUCGUCCUAAGACUUGCAACCUGGAGCCUUUCCACUACUGCCCCAGUCCAGAAGAGUCCACGUCUGAACUUCAGUUCAGGUCAUGAUCUC